AUGACCUGGCAGGCCUGGUGGCGGGUUAGUGCACGUAGGCCGGCGGUUUCAGCCGAGGGGCUGCUGGGAGGGUUCCCGAGGCUGCUUGAGGAGGCACCGUCCGUGCAGGCCUUCACUAGGAGGCUCGAAGCGGGUCCUGUCGCACCCGUUACCCCUGCAGAGGCCUGGCGGCCUGGGCCCGGUGGCGGCGCAGGUCAGUCGGUGCGCGAGGCGGGAGGAAGUGCGGUUGCUGCCGGCCUGCGCGGCCAGACAGCUAACUGUGCUGCUGGAACUGCGGCCCUCGGCGGAGUCCGGCCAGGCAGCUCCCGCGGACUCGAGGCGGUCUGCCGUAGCGCGGCGGCGUGCCUGCAGGGCCGGCGGUGUGACCUCCCUGGGUCGGCUCUGGGCGCUGCUACUGGCCCCGCUCACGGUUUUGUUGCGUCCCGCGCCUUCCCUGGGCGUCUCGGUUCCUUAAGUCCCUCUGAAGUCCCGCUGAGUGUUUCAGCACGCCAAGAGACUACAAGGCCUCCAGCUAGGCCCAGGGGUAAGCUAUUUCUGGAAGUAUUUGGCAGGAUCCAAAAAGAAUCAUAUUCAAGCAAUGACAUCUUUUACUGAAAUAUCUCAAGAUGCAGAAAGAAAUGAAAAGAGCAUGGCAAUCAAACUCAACUGUUGUUCCCAUCGCUCCAAGUAAGUAUGAAACAAUUAUUUCAGUUAAAUUCUCAAAACUAGCUCCACUAAUUAAUUUGCAGACAUACAACUGUCUUAAGACACAUUGGACAAUGAAAAGUUAUUUUUCACAUUCAAAUGGUCAGUUCUUACCCCUGAGAUAGCAGUUUGACUCUUUCUUGAAAGAGAUGGUUAGUGAAGGGGCAUGCAAGGAAAAGCAGGUACUUAGUUGUCCAUGAUUACAGAGACAUUGCUUGCUUUUUUGAGGAAUAGCUCACGAGCAUGAUUAUCUUCUGCACUGUGUUUGAGAUCUACUUUCUUGAGGCAGAAUACAUAUUUUUUGAUAAAAGUAUUAAUUAUACCUUAAGAUAUAUUACAAAGGUAACUGUGUUAAUAUUGUCCCUGAUUUUAUUUUUUUUUCUCUUGAAAGACCUUAGAUGGAUGGAAAUUUUAAUUCUAUCAUAGAAGUAAAAGCCCUUUUGUGGCAUUUUGUAAGCAGACGAUAUUCUGCUCGUGACUGACUUUUCAAUAAUGCUUUGGUCUAAAUUCUGAAUUCUAUUAUUUUACAUCUACAGCAACUGAAAGUAUAUUUUUUUAUAAACAGCAAACUUCACCUCAUAAAAAUUUAUUACAUAAGGGCAUAAACAAGUACUUUUCCUUCCAGUCAUUGGCAGUAAGUGAUUCAUCAGUUUUCCGCAGAAAACCAAUUUCAUUGCAGAUGUUCUGCAGACUCAUGAAUUGUAGAAUCAUAUCAUCCAAUCCCAGCACAAGGAAUGUAGGACUUUUUUUUUUUUAAGGGGGGUAAAAAGGCUGUGCUUAGUCUCUUUAAUAGGAUUAAAUAUAAUUUGCUGUCUCAUCAGUUUUGUGAAAUAACCAUAAAGUAAUCAGCUUGCCAUUCUUUCCUUUCCUGUACAGGCUGUCAACUUACCCACAGUGCUGACAUGAGCCAACAGUGUGUGCUUGCAGCCCAAAAAGCCAACCGCAUCCCGGGCUGCAUCAAAAGGAGAGUGACCAGCAGGUCGAAGGAGAUUAUCCUGCCCCUCUACUCUGCCCUUGUGAGACCUCUCUUGGAGUAUUGUCUGCAGUUCUGGUAUCCUCAACAUAAAAAGGACAUGGAAGUGUUGGAACAAGUCCAGAGGAGGGCCACAAAGAUGAUCAGGGAACUGGAGCACCUCCCGUAUGAAGACAGGCUGAGAAAGUUGGGGCUGUUCAGCCUGGAGAAGAGAAGGCUGCGUGGAGACCUCCUAGCAGCCUUCCAGUAUCUGAAGGGGGCCUAUAGGGAUGCUGGGGAGGGACUCUUCAUUAGGGACUGUGGUGAGAGGACAAGGGGUAAUGGGUUCAAAUUUAAACAGGGGAAGUUUAGAUUGGAUAUGAGGAAGAAAUUCUGGACUGUAAGGGUGGUGAGGCACUGGAAUGUGUUUCCCAGGGAAGUUGUGAAUGCUCCAUCCCUGGCGGUGUUCAAGGCUGGGUUGGACAUAGCCUAGGGUGACAUGGUUUAGUGGGAGGUGUCCCUGCCCAUGGCAGGGGGUUGGAACUAGGUGAUCUUAAGUUCCUUUCCAACCUUAACUAUUCUAUGAUUCUAAGUGCAUAAGUGAAUAACUUGCAGUAGAGAAAUAUCUUCGAGGUUAAACAAAAUGUAACCAGUUACUAAUUUUCAUUGUCUAACAGGCUUGCCUGGUGGUUGUUUUUUUUUUUUUUUUUAUUUUGUUUGGGUUUUUAAUUUUAAAAUUAGUGUUUAUUUUUAUAAGAACCAGUAAUUAAUUACUAAUUGAAUCAAAAGUUUUCUCCCAGUGGGCCAGAAAUAAGAGAUGGGCCUAAAAUCCGCUCUUGGCAAGUGUAUGCAAUUCUGUUUCAUUCCAUUCUCUAUAGCAUAUAGAAUCCACCCUACUAUAUUUCCAUUGCACAAAGUUACGUAGAUACCAAAUUCAGUUCUUAUAGCUGAAGGAGGGAAAGGAGACAAAAGAAAGAAUGUAUUCAGCUGAAAAUGAAAAGGGAUGGAGAAAGUUAAAAGCAGAGAAACCAGAACAAUAGCCGGCAAGCAGCAGGAACCAACAAGAAUUAUUAUUUUCCAGUAGGGAGAAUUAAUUUCUUUGAUAACUUCAACAUGAUGUUGAAUUUAGCCCUUAGAGAAGAAGCCGAUAGUAGCAAAAUGCACAGAUUAAGUCAGCAAGUAAAUGUUGGCUUAUACUGCUUUAAGUCUUGCUGUAAGUCUUCUAUUCCCAAUUUUGUUUUCUCCAUUGCUACUAUUCUUGACAUAGCAUGAUGAGAGAACAUUUCUCCAAAUGUGUGUGAAUCACUGAACUAAAAACAGAGCAAGAUCCAAUCUUGUAUCUAUAUAUACAAAAAUAGUAUAAUUUGAUGCUGAAAGAAUUGGUGAAAGCCCUAACAGAGAAACCUUUGUUCAAAGGCUGAGAAAACAGAAAAAUCCAGAUCCAGCUGAUUUUGGUUGACUUGAUCAGAUUUGGGAUUUCACCAGAUUUAACACAUAGAUUAUGCCUAACUUGAAAAACAAACCUGUGAGGACCUGAGGGUAGGGUUUGGUUUUUUAUUAUUAUGGCCAGUCUACAUGACACAGUGUCCAUUCGUAUUAGUACACUCAUUCUCCAUCAGAACAAGAAGACUUUGAAUGCCUAGAUUCAGCCAUAUAUGUAGAUAUGUAUAGCUAGAAACAACCACAGAGACUUAUUUUCUAAGUAAUGUCAACUAUAUUUCUCAUGGUAAGCACUUCCCAUGUUUUGCAACCAUGCUCAAAGAUUGUACAGUGUAACAGAUCCGUAACAGAUAAAAACAGACAGAGGAUGCAUGCUGCCUUCUUUUGCUAGCCUUCACAGAAAAUGGACAUCAGUAGGAGAGCCAUCAGCUCUGACUUUGACAUCACCAGUUCUGCAGAAGGAUUUGUGAGUGCCCCCAGAGUACUCUUUGCUUCUUUAUUGCUUCUCCAGCUCACUUCUUUCCAGGACAAAAUCCCUGUGUGGUUUCCCUCCUGUGACUACUAGAAUAAGCAAAAAAGCUCAACUUCUGCUGUCCAUGUUUCCAAGAUAAAAUCUAUAUAAUUUGCUAAGAACAAUGCUACAGAUAACAUCUCCACAUGCCCAUUUGAGUUCAAGGACACUGGGGCAAGCCUAGACUUUAAGCAUGACUAUCUCCUAAGCUCUUUAUUUCCAACCUUAUUUCUGGCUCCAAAACACACAGGACCAGGAUAUUGACUGUCAACAAAAGAAAGAUGAAUUUGGCAUACCUCCUAGAGGACAGUGCACUUGAUGUACCUGUACUUGUUCUUUGCAGAUUAUAAAAACAAGAACUUCAGUCCAAACUAAAGCCUCCUGCCCCUUCAGAGAGCUGUGAAAUUUAUCCUGUGUGUCUGUAUUUAACUAUGUUGUAAACAAUAUAGGAGACUAACAAACCUAAAUUAAAGCAUAGGCUCAGAUACUUAAAUUGGUUUACAUAGAAAGGAUGAACACUGAUGUUGUCAUUAGUCCAGCUUUCCUUGUGUAUCCAUGAAGAUGGAGCUAAGGAGUAAGUGCCAAGCAAUGCAAAGAGAUUUGUUCAGUCCUGUCAUAGUUUAAGCCCAGCUGGUAACUCAGUACCACGCAGCCAUUCACUCACUCCCCCCUCUUCCUCCCCCCACUCCCAGAGGGAUGGGGAGGAGAAUCGAAAGAAUGUAACUCCCACGGUUUGAAAUAAGAACAGUCCAGUAACUAAGGUAUAACACAAACCACUACUGCUACCACCAAUAAUAAUAAUGAUAAGGGUAAUAACAAGGGAAGAGAAUACAACUGCUCACCAUCCGCCAACCGAUAUCCAGCCCAACCCAAGCAGUGAUCUAACCCUUCUGGAUAACUGCUUGUCGUGGUUUAAGUUUUAUAAACUCACACAGCUGCUCUCUCACUCACUCCCCACUCUUUCUUCCCUCCGCUCCUGGAGGGAUGGGAAGGAGAAUCGAAAGAAUGCAACUCGGGCGGGGAGGAGAUUCAGAGCAGCCCUGCGGAGAAGGACUUGGGGGUGUGGGUUGAUGAAAAAAUGAACAUGAGCCGGCAGUGUGUGCUUGCAGCCCAGAAGGCCAACCGUAUUCUGGGCUGCAUCAAAAGGAGUGUGACCAGCAGGUCGAGGGAGGUGCUCCUGCCCAUUUACUCUGCUCUCGUGAGACCUCACUUGGAGUAUUGUGUGCAGUUCUGGUGUCCUCGACAUAAAAAGGACAUGGAACUGUUAGAACAAGUGCAGAGGAGGGCCACGAAGAUGAUCAGGGGACUGGAGCACCUCUCGUAUGAAGAUAGACUGAGAAAAUUGGGGCUGUUCAGCCUGGAGAAGAGAAGGCUGCGUGGAGACCUCAUAGCAGCCUUCCAAUACCUGAAGGGGGCCUAUAGGGAUGCUGGGGAGGGACUCUUCAUUAGGGACUGUUGUGAGAGGACAAGGGGUAAUGGGUUUAAACUUAAACAGGUGAGGUUUAGAUUGGAUCUGAGGAAGAAAUUCUUUACUGUAAGGGUGGUGGGGCCCUGGAAUGGGUUG
rnacentral:lncRNA from 1 species